UACAGAGGGUGCAAGCGUUAAUCGGAAUUACUGGGCGUAAAGCGCACGUAGGUGGCUUGAUAAGUUGGGUGUGAAAUCCCCGGGCUUAACCUGGGAAUUGCAUUCAAGACUGUCUUGCUAGAGUGUGGAAGAGGGAAGCGGAAUUCCAGGUGUAGCGGUGAAAUGCGUAGAUAUCUGGAGGAACAUCAGUGGCGAAGGCGGCUUCCUGGGCCAAUACUGACGCUGAGGUGCGAAAGCGUGGGGAGCAAACAGG
rnacentral:rRNA from 1 species